rnacentral:rRNA from 1 species
AUUGAACGCUGGCGGCAUGCCUUACACAUGCAAGUCGAACGGCAGCGGACCUUCGGGCGCCGGCGAGUGGCGAACGGGUGAGUAAUAUAUCGGAACGUACCUUUCGAGUGGGGGAUAACGUAGCGAAAGUUACGCUAAUACCGCAUAUUCUGUGAGCAGGAAAGGCAGGGGAUCGCAAGACCUUGCGCUGAUUGAGCGGCCGAUAUCAGAUUAGCUAGUUGGUGAGGUAAAGGCUCACCAAGGCGACGAUCUGUAGCGGGUCUGAGAGGAUGAUCCGCCACACUGGAACUGAGACACGGUCCAGAC